rnacentral:rRNA from 1 species
GGCUCAGGAUGAACGCUAGCGGCAGGCUUAAUACAUGCAAGUCGUGGGGCAGCGACAGUGUAGCAAUACAUGGGCGGCGACCGGCAAACGGGUGCGGAACACGUACACAACCUUCCUACAAGUGGGGAAUAGCCAGAGUAAUUUGGAUUAAUACCCGUAACAUAUAAAGAUGGCAUCAUUUUUAUAUUAUAGCUACGGCGCUUGUUGAUGGGUGUGCGGCUGAUUAGGUAGUUGGCGGGGUAAUGGCCCACCAAGCCUGCGAUCAGUAGCUGAUGUGAGAGCAUGAUCAGCCACACGGGCACUGAGACACGGGCCCGACUCCUACGGGAGGCAGCAGUAAGGAAUAUUGGACAAUGGGCGCAAGCCUGAUCCAGCCAUGCCGCGUGAAGGAUUAAGGUCCUCUGGAUUGUAAACUUCUUUUAUAAGGGACGAAAAAAGGGAAUUCUUUCUCACUUGACGGUACCUUAUGAAUAAGCACCGGCUAACUCCGUG